rnacentral:lncRNA from 1 species
UUUAUAUAAUUUAUAUAAUACUAUAUUAAACAGGUUGGCAAGUUAAAAACUGGUUGUCAGGUCACCCCUGUGUGACCCGUUUAUUAAACGGAUAAGUCGUGUCAACUUGUGUACGACAUGAACCCGUUUAGUCCCAGUUAGGGAUGUAAACGAACCGAACGUUCAGCGAUCAGUUCGUGAACCGUUUACAGCUCUAGUCCCAGGCAAACCCAUUUAUAGAGUUGGUGAGGUAAUGAGUCAUAGUGGGUAGUUUGUCAAAACAGGUUGGUUGGUCAACCCGCAAACACUUUAUUUAUCCACUUUCAAAUUUUUAAGACUAUUAAUGUGAAAAAUAUGAUUACUAAAACCGUAGUAUUACAAAAAUAACCUAACUUGUAAAUAAAGCGGUUUCAGAAGUUUUUAUGCAUCUAAAUAUACUUGAAGACGACUUUCAACCUGUUCAACCAACAUAACCCAAAUCGACUCAUGUAUAGGUAAACGGUUCGAAAAUACCACCUCUAAAUAAAUAAACAUCAACAAUGCUUAACAGGAAACGGGUCGAUUCAGGUUAGUUAUAUUUCUUUUGGUUCAAAUGGGUGAAUUUCAAGUAAUUUAGCGUAACAGUAACAGGAAACGGGUCGAAAUUCGCCCAUGGUUACUAUAAAACCAUAUCUUUUUUGUAAUCAUCUUUUCCCAACACAAUAAUUUUUGGACAAAAAGUGUUCCAGGUCAACCCGUUUGUAGUUAAUGCGGUAAAAUAUCGGAUAUCGGUCAAGGAGAGAUAUUUGAGAUAUAGGUUAUCGUGGUGGGAUAUCGGUAUUUUUAAUAUCAUGCAAAAUUUAUAUAUAUAGCAAUUUAACCCUAACAAUUCAAUAUACUCUCCUACCAUUAACAAAUUAACCUUUUGCAACUUGCAAAACACUAACAAAUGUAGCAAGUAGGGAGUAUCGGUACCGAUAUUUUACAUGGGGGCGAUAACUGAUAUAUCACCGAUAUUAACUGCAUAGGUUUCAAUUAGUCGAACGAACCUGUAUGAUGAUAAUAGCUGCUUAAAUUCAUGUUCCAAUUUGGAGAUAGCCUUGGAAAGCAAAUUAUUCGCAUGGUUGACCACCCCAUCGCUGCUCUUAAAGCUUUUGUUGUCGGUAAAAAACCGAAUAUUGCUUCUUAGUUGCUCAAUAGCUUCAAGAUAGCCUUCAAGAUUCUCACGUGGGCCUUUAAGUAUUUUAGCCUCAGCCUACAAGUUAGAAACAUAAAUACUCCUCACAUAACACAUUUCAUAAAAUAUAUAAGAAACUAGAGGUGGCGAAAUGGGUGGGUCUGGCAGGUGGGAUAACGGGUCAAACAUGAGUUCAAGUCGAACGGAUCGGAUCAAGUCACGUUGUGCAUCACGUUAACUUUAUAAAAACUUUUUUGUCUAUUUUUUUAAUACUUACAUCACGUUAACUUUAUAAAAAUAAUAAUAAUGUAGUUUCUUUUAAAUACGAUGAUUUAGGACGUUGUAAGCUUUUAACAUGUUUGACCCGUUACCGACAAAAUAUGAACCCAAAUUGGCUCGUUUCCAUACAGAUGGGCCAUAAUUUGAAAUUUCCACCUUUAUAAAGAAAUGAUUAGUUAAGAAAAACCAACCUCACGAGAAAGAUCGAAUUUGUUCAAUAUAACAUUAGCAGCCUUCAAGGUCUUAUCAAUGUUCUCAUGAGCUCUACGUAUACCAUGUGUCCUUAUCUACGAUAAAAACAUAAUGCGUAGAACUAGUGUGAAGUCUAGAUCAAAUGCAUAAUCGCAAUUAUCUUUCACAAAAAAAAAAAACAAAAAAACAAAAAAAACAAAAAAGACUUUUGACAAAAAAAUAAUUGUCAAGUAAUAUGGAAUUUCUCCUUUUGCACCUACAAUAUCUCAUUGUAUCCAAAAUUGAUUGUUAUUGCACACCCAAAUUUCAAUUAAAGUUGUGGCCUUAAGAAUGUAUAUUUAUAUAACUAUGAUCGUUAAGUCGAAGAGAAAACUAUAAGGAUCUGAUCCAAGAGUUAGCAGACUCUUGCCUGGACUAGCUGAAAAGGUCUCGACGAGCCAGAUCAUGUGGUUAGCCUAGCCGUCGAGCCCGAAUUCCAUCAAUAAGGGCUCCCAUUGAAUCAGCAAUACUUUCCCCAAAUUUUAGCUAUUUUCAUUCUUUCUAUUUUUAGUCUAAAACAUGUAAAUCAUUGGAUGUCAUAACUCUCACAUUUAUUUAUUUGGUUAUUUAUUUAUUUUUUUUGAACGACAAAUUUGGAUCACUGACGGACCACUAGAGUAUCAUUGUGCCACCAGUGUAACCACCUGAUCAUAUUCAUCUCUAUUAGACAAUAAUGCAUAUAGACCAGUUUAGGAGGAAACCCAAUAAAUUUGGGAAAAACCCCCUUGUGGGAAUCGAACCCAGGACCUAAUGGUACCAAGCUUUAUCCCAUCCCAAGAUAAGAUGUCACUGAGCUAUAAAAGGAAAUCAAUGACAAUUAGUUCACUAUGCAAAAACAACCAUUAAAGUCCUUAAUUUCAGCAUUUAAUCCCGGUUUGUAAUUAAAAAAAUUUGACAAUUCCUGACAAAUUUAGAAUUACAUCUAUAUUUAUUUCUUGCUUCCCAAAAAAAAAAAAAAAAAAAAAAAAAAAAAAAAAAAAACAAACUAGAGAUUCUUGUUCAUACAAAACGCAUAAAGCUAUUUAUUUAUUUAUCCAGCUAACACAAAGUAGAUCAAGGUUCCACCUUUUUUCCCCUAAACCUCAAAGCCAAACACACCCACAUACAUUUUCUCACAAUUCAAAGAAAUACAAAAAAUGGGUAUUUAUUACUUACUAUUUAGUAAAGUUAGAAAAAAAAAAUACUGAUGAAAAUGUACCUGAGUUGGACGCAUGGCUGAUUCAAGGGCAGAUAAACGGUGAUCAAAAGAACCCAAAAUGGAAACCAUGUUAUCAAUUAUCGGGUGGAAUUGGAACACCCAUGAGUUAGUUGAGUUUAGGAGAAUUGUGAAAAAGGGGAUAGUUGGAGUGAAAAUGUGUUGUUGA